rnacentral:sRNA from 1 species
AAUAGUGAUCCGAAACAUAUCUCCAAUUCAAAGUCCGGAGGAUCUCCUCAACGGGACAAAGAAUAUCCUCUGUGCGGGUCGAAUAACCCGUCAGAGGAUGGUAUCAUAUAUGCACCUUUUUGCGACAAAGGAUAUGUUUUUUCUCGAAUCAAAUUCGCUGACUAU